GUUAAGCGACUAAGCGUACACGGUGGAUGCCCUGGCAGUCAGAGGCGAUGAAGGACGUGCUAAUCUGCGAUAAGCGUCGGUAAGGUGAUAUGAACCGUUAUAACCGGCGAUUUCCGAAUGGGGAAACCCAGUGUGUUUCGACACACUAUCAUUAACUGAAUCCAUAGGUUAAUGAGGCGAACCGGGGGAACUGAAACAUCUAAGUACCCCGAGGAAAAGAAAUCAACCGAGAUUCCCCCAGUAGCGGCGAGCGAACGGGGAGCAGCCCAGAGCCUGAAUCAGUGUGUGUGUUAGUGGAAGCGUCUGGAAAGGCGCGCGAUACAGGGUGACAGCCCCGUACACAAAAAUGCACAUGCUGUGAGCUCGAUGAGUAGGGCGGGACACGUGGUAUCCUGUCUGAAUAUGGGGGGACCAUCCUCCAAGGCUAAAUACUCCUGACUGACCGAUAGUGAACCAGUACCGUGAGGGAAAGGCGAAAAGAACCCCGGCGAGGGGAGUGAAAAAGAACCUGAAACCGUGUACGUACAAGCAGUGGGAGCACGCUUAGGCGUGUGACUGCGUACCUUUUGUAUAAUGGGUCAGCGACUUAUAUUCUGUAGCAAGGUUAACCGAAUAGGGGAGCCGAAGGGAAACCGAGUCUUAACUGGGCGUUAAGUUGCAGGGUAUAGACCCGAAACCCGGUGAUCUAGCCAUGGGCAGGUUGAAGGUUGGGUAACACUAACUGGAGGACCGAACCGACUAAUGUUGAAAAAUUAGCGGAUGACUUGUGGCUGGGGGUGAAAGGCCAAUCAAACCGGGAGAUAGCUGGUUCUCCCCGAAAGCUAUUUAGGUAGCGCCUCGUGAACUCAUCUCCGGGGGUAGAGCACUGUUUCGGCAAGGGGGUCAUCCCGACUUACCAACCCGAUGCAAACUGCGAAUACCGGAGAAUGUUAUCACGGGAGACACACGGCGGGUGCUAACGUCCGUCGUGAAGAGGGAAACAACCCAGACCGCCAGCUAAGGUCCCAAAGUCAUGGUUAAGUGGGAAACGAUGUGGGAAGGCCCAGACAGCCAGGAUGUUGGCUUAGAAGCAGCCAUCAUUUAAAGAAAGCGUAAUAGCUCACUGGUCGAGUCGGCCUGCGCGGAAGAUGUAACGGGGCUAAACCAUGCACCGAAGCUGCGGCAGCGACACUAUGUGUUGUUGGGUAGGGGAGCGUUCUGUAAGCCUGCGAAGGUGUACUGUGAGGUAUGCUGGAGGUAUCAGAAGUGCGAAUGCUGACAUAAGUAACGAUAAAGCGGGUGAAAAGCCCGCUCGCCGGAAGACCAAGGGUUCCUGUCCAACGUUAAUCGGGGCAGGGUGAGUCGACCCCUAAGGCGAGGCCGAAAGGCGUAGUCGAUGGGAAACAGGUUAAUAUUCCUGUACUUGGUGUUACUGCGAAGGGGGGACGGAGAAGGCUAUGUUGGCCGGGCGACGGUUGUCCCGGUUUAAGCGUGUAGGCUGGUUUUCCAGGCAAAUCCGGAAAA
rnacentral:rRNA from 1 species